rnacentral:rRNA from 1 species
CCUACGGGUGGCAGCAGUGAGGAAUAUUGGUCAAUGGGCGGGAGCCUGAACCAGCCAAGCCGCGUGAAUGAAGAAGGCGCCAAGCGUCGUAAACUUCUUUUGUCGGGGAACAAAGGGCGCCACGCGUGGCGUUGUGAGUGUACCCGCAGAAAAAGCAUCGGCUUACUCCGUGCCAGCAGCCGCGGUAAUACGGAGGAUGCGAGCGUUAUCCUGAUUGAUUGGGUUAAAAGGGUGCGCAGUCGGCCCGGAAAGUCAGCGGUAAAAGCCCGGGGCUCCACCCCGGCGAGCCGUUGAAACUGGCGGACUAGAGACGGCGAGAAGUACGCGGAAUGCGCGGUGUAGCGGUGAAAUGCAUAGAUAUCGCGCAGAACUCCGAUUGCGAAGGCAGCGUACCGGCGCCAGACUGACGCUGAGGCACGAAAGCGUGGGUAUCGAACAGGAUUAGAUACCCGGGUAGUC